CGAGGUUUUGGUUUGAGAAAUUUGGAUAAAUUUAGGGCUUUUAUGAGCGUCUCUGUUGGAUCUCAAACUGCUGCUAAUGAUGCCUUUUUCUCGGAUAAAUCUAGGGCUUUUACGGUGUUGGCUUGCGAUAUCCGGUCAGUGUUAGGGCUACUGCGACUCCUGGGCUCGAACGUUUCCAUCGAAAGAUCGCGACUAUGGGUAUAGUCAGCUCUUUUGUAUUCAAUUGUUGUAUAUUUCGUGUUUUUUGAUUGUGAAAACAGAUAACAUUUUUUUUAUUUGCUCAGGUGACAAAUGUUGAGAAAGCAUGAUGUUGUUGACAAAUUUGUUGAGUUCUAUGGUAAUUUCAUGUUCAUGAAAUUGAGUGACUAGGUUCACUUGAAGUUCAGUUCUUUAUAUAUCUAUCUGUCAUCUUUAAGGUUUAAUUCUCUUUCUAUGUGCAUACAGGUGAAGGUAUGGGCGAAUUGUCACUGGCUGAUAGGGCUACUAUUGCAAAUAUGGUACCCGAGUAUGGAGCACCUAUGGGUUUUUUCCCUGUAGAUCAUGUUACAUUGAUCUUAAAUUAACUGGAAGAAGUAAUGAGACAGUGAGUUAUCUCUCAAUGUUUCACUUGUAUAUGUAAGAUAUAUACCGUGUUUAGUUGGACCCUUAAAAUGUGAUUUUAAUUUUUAUUAUUUUAUGCAUACUAGGUAUCAGUGAUUGAAGCAUAUUUGCGUGCAAACAAUAUGUUUGUUGACUAUAAUG
rnacentral:lncRNA from 1 species